GACGAACGCUGGCGGCGCGCUUAACACAUGCAAGUCGAACGGUAAGGCCCUUCGGGGUACACGAGUGGCGAGCGGGGUGAGUAACACGUGGGUGAUCUGCCCUGCACUUCGGGAUAAGCUUGGGAAACUGGGUCUAAUACCGGAUAGGACCACGGUCUGCAUGGAUUGUGGUGGAAAGCUUUUGCGGUGUGGGAUGGGCCCGCGGCCUAUCAGCUUGUUGGUGGGGUGAUGGCCUACCAAGGCGACGACGGGUAGCCGGCCUGAGAGGGUGUCCGGCCACACUGGGACUGAGAUACGGCCCAGACUCCUACGGGAGGCAGCAGUGGGGAAUAUUGCACAAUGGGCGCAAGCCUGAUGCAGCGACGCCGCGUGGGGGAUGACGGCCUCGGGUUGU
rnacentral:rRNA from 1 species